rnacentral:rRNA from 1 species
AUACGUAGGGGGCGAGCGUUGUCCGGAAUGAUUGGGCGUAAAGGGCGCGUAGGCGGCGCGGUAAGUCUGGAGUGAAAGUCCUGCUUUCAAGGUGGGAAUUGCUUUGGAUACUGCCGCUUGAGUGCAGGAGAGGUUAUCGGAAUUCCCGGUGUAGCGGUGAAAUGCGUAGAGUUCGGGAGGAACACCAGUGGAGAAGGCGGGUAACUGGACUGCAACUGACGCUGAGGCGCGAAAGUGUGGGGAGCAAACAGGAUUAGAUACCCUGGUAGUCCACACUGUAAACGAUGAAUGCUAGGUGUGAGAGGUAUCGACCCCUUUUGUGCCGGAGUCAACACAAUAAGCAUUCCGCCUGGGGAGUACGGCCGCAAGGUUGAAACUCAAAGGAAUUGACGGGG